rnacentral:rRNA from 1 species
AUGUUCACGGAAGAGGAAAUUUGGAACACAAUUAAAGAGCUGCCACCGGAUCACGCCCCCGGUACGGAUGGUUUCAUUGGUGCUUUCUACCAUAGGGCUUGGCCCAUCAUUAAGCAUGAUGUUAUGGUAGUAAUGAUGAAGUUAUAUGUGGGAGACGGCAGAGGAUUUGGCAAACUUAAUAGAGCGCACAUUGUUCUUAUUCCCAAAAAACUGUAUGUUGAACUUGUUGGAGAUUACCGACCCAUCAGCCUAACUCACAACGCGGCUAAGCUGUUCGCCAAAAUGCUUGCACUUAGGGCAAGAAAGUGGAUGAAAGAGGUCGUUGCUGCAAACCUAUCGGCAUUUAUCCAAGGACGGAAUUUGCAUGACAAUUUCUUGUUGGUAAGGCAAGUGGCUAGGAAAAUUCAUGAAAGAAGAGAACCAGGGGUGUUCCUCAAGCUUGACAUCUCACGUGCUUUUGAUUCCCUAUCUUGGCCUUUUCUCUUCGAGGUCUUGAGAAAGAAGGGAUUCAGUGCAAAUGGAUUGGCUGGAUUUUGA